rnacentral:rRNA from 1 species
AUGUCAGUUCUCAUUUUGAAAUGUCAAAUUUAGUCUUACAUCGAGCAAGAAGCCCACUUCUUGUUGUUUAUCGUCUCUCGGGAGGCGGUGCACUCUAGAAAGACUGCCGGUGUUAAACCGGAGGAAGGUGGGGAUCACGUCAAGUCAUCAUGGCCCUUAAGUUCAGGGCUACACACGUGUUACAAUGGCAGGUACAAAGGGACCCGACCCCGCAAGGGGAAGCCAAUCCCACAAACCCUGUCUUAGUUCGGAUGAGGUCUGAACUCGCCUCGUGAAGUGGAAUUCGCUAGUAAUCGCGG